UUGGAGGGCAAGUCUGGUGCCAGCAGCCGCGGUAAUUCCAGCUCCAAUAGCGUAUAUUAAAGUUGUUGCAGUUAAAAAGCUCGUAGUUGAAUUUCGGAAUCCAUCCGUCGGUCGGGCCUCACGGUCCGCACUGGUGUGAUGGAUUCCUACCUUCUGAAUAACCAGCAUGCCAUUAAUUUGGUGCGUUGGGGAAGCAGGACUGUUACCUUGAAAAAAUUAGAGUGCUUAAAGCAGGCUAGUGCCUGAAUACAUUAGCAUGGAAUAAUGAAAUAGGACGGCAUGGUUCUAUUUUGUUGGUUUCUAGGAUCACCGUAAUGAUUAAUAGGGAUAGUUGGGGGCAUUAGUAUUCAAUUGUCAGAGGUGAAAUUCUUGGAUUUAUUGAAGACUAACUUCUGCGAAAGCAUUUGCCAAGGAUGUUUUCAUUAAUCAAGAACGAAAGUUAGGGGAUCGAAGACGAUCAGAUACCGUCGUAGUCUUAACCAUAAACUAUGCCGACUAGGGAUCGGACGAUGUUAAUUUUUUAAUGACUCAUUCGGCGCCUUACGGGAAAC
rnacentral:rRNA from 1 species